rnacentral:rRNA from 1 species
UAGGGAAUCUUCCGCAAUGGGCGAAAGCCUGACGGAGCAACGCCGCGUGAGUGAAGAAGGAUUUCGGUUCGUAAAGCUCUGUUGUUAGGGAAGAAUGAUUGUGUAGUAACUAUACACAGUAGAGACGGUACCUAACCAGAAAGCCACGGCUAACUACGUGCCAGCAGCCGCGGUAAUACGUAGGUGGCAAGCGUUGUCCGGAAUUAUUGGGCGUAAAGCGCGCGCAGGUGGUUUAAUAAGUCUGAUGUGAAAGCCCACGGCUCAACCGUGGAGGGUCAUUGGAAACUGUUAAACUUGAGUGCAGGAGAGAAAAGUGGAAUUCCUAGUGUGGCGGUGAAAUGCGUAGAGAUUAGGAGGAACACCAGUGGCGAAGGCGGCUUUUUGGCCUGUAACUGACACUGAGGCGCGAAAGCGUGGGGAACAAACAGGAUUAGAUACCCUGGUAGUCCACGCCGUAAACGAUGAGUGCUAAGUGUUGGUCUCAUAAGAGAUCAGUGCUGCAGCUAACGCAUUAAGCACUCCGCCUGGGGAGUACGACCGCAAGGUUG